CUUUAAAGAAAGCGUAACAGCUCACUGGUCGAGAGUCCUUGCGCCGAAGAUGAUCGGGGCUCAAGCAUAUUACCGAAACUGCGGAUUUGUACUUUCUUCGGAAAGUAUGAGUGGUAGGAGAGCGUUCGUAUCUGCGAUGAAUGGUCGGGGAGACCCGAUUUGGAGCGAUGCGAAGUGAGAAUGCCGGCACAAGUAACCGCAAGACGGGUGAGAACCCCGUCCGCCGAAAUACCGAGGUUUCCUUUGCUAUGGUGAUCAGCGAAGGGUUAGUCGGUCCUAAGCCGAUGGCGAAUGCCGAAGGCGAUGGAUAGCAGGUUAAUAUUCCUGCACACCACUACGUUUCUAUGGAGGGACGGAGGGUUGUACUUAAAGCAUCUUACUGGAUUGGUGCUGGAGCUAUGAGGGCGUUGCUUAGGUAAAUCCGGGCAGCACAAACCCAAGUAGAGUCUGAAUCUGCGGCUACGGCCAAAGAAAUUUAAGGAGCACGCUUCCAAGAAAAACUUCGUUUGGGUUAAACGUAGCGGUUCCGUACCGCAAACCGACACAGGUGGUAAGGUCGAGAAGACCAAGGCGAACGAGUGAGGGGUCCUUAAGGAACUCGGCAAAAAAGCGGCCGUAACUUCGGGAUAAGGCCUGCCUCUCCGCAAGGAGAGGCCGCAGCGAAAGAUUUCCUGGCGACUGUUUAACAAAAACACAGCUCUCUGCGAAGACGUAAGUCCAUGUAUAGAGGGUGACGCCUGACCAAUGCGGGAAGGUUAAGCACGGGGGGUGAAGUGUCUUCGGAUGCUUUGCUGGACUGUGUAAGCCCCCGUCAAUGUCAGCGAUAACUAUAAUCGUUCUAAGGUAGAGCGUGCUUCCUUCGGGAAGUUCGCUCUACGGAUUAGAACGAUUAUAGAGUUAAACAGCCCGAGCCAUAGUUACCUUAUUAGUGAGUAAUCAUUAAUAUUCCAAAAUGCAACCAACAAGAGACCAAAUGUUGCACACCCCACCUAGCAAUAGAGGGUGAAGAUAGAGUCCUAUUGUGUACGAACAGGUCAAGGCCUGUUCACAAAAGAAGGAAUAAUAGAGCGCAAUUCCUUGUCGGGUAGAUGAACUGCCCGGUUCAGCAGUGAUGCUGUCCUAGUAUGGUAUUCCUCCAUACAGGCAAAUACCUUAGCAAUAAAGUAUUUGCCACUGGCUUAUAACGGUGAAGCCCUAACCAGUGUAUCCACUUCAAGGGUGGAUACAAUACUGAGUGGGUAAUACCGUGGGAAGUCGUCCUAAUCAUGCAACGCAUGACGGAUUGACCCCGUAACGACUUAAUGCACUACCGUACAGUAGUGCAUUAGAUGGAGGCAAUAUAUAAUUUACUUAUAUAUGAAAUCCAUAACACGCCAGCGCUCAAUGCAAACCAGAAAUACGUACGAAUAUAUUUCUGGGUAUGAAAAUACGUGCAAGUAGAAUUGCUUGCUGCAUUGAGAUGAAGAUAUAGUCUGUGCCACUAGUAAUAGUGGAUUAACAUUACUUUUAGUUGCACGGAAGUAAUGAAUCAAUAUGAAGUUCCGACGUGCACGAAUGGCGUAACGACUGGGAAACUGUCUCAAGGACCUGCUCGGUGAAAAUACAAUGGCUGUGAAGAUGCAGCCUACCUGCAGUUAGACGAAAAGACCCCAGGAGCUUUACUGUAGUUUCUUAUUGGGGCUGUUUGAUUUAUGUGUAGCAUAGAUGGGAGACUUUGAAGCGGGCUUUCGGGUACCGUGGAGUCGUCAGUGAAAUACCAUUCUUAAAUCGGGCAGUUCCUAACCCGACGCGACAAACGCGUUGGGGACAGUGAGUGGCAGGCAGUUUUAGUGGGGCGCUACCCUUGGCGUUGUGAUCAUUUGAUCGUAACGCCAAACUGUGGCGCCUCCAGAGCAAAUAUCGGAAAUGAGUGUGAGACCUCAUCGCUCGAAACAAAUAAAUUGUGGGGGCAUUCCAUUAGGAAUGGGUAAUCAGCUAUAUGCUUAAAAACCCGAGAAUCUGUCAGUACACUAACGUGUAAAAAUCUGACAGUGCGGACAAUGAGCAGGGAAGUCGUAAUUGACCCCUCAGAGACUAUACGCUGACCAAUUAAUUGUAUUAUUAUACAAUUGGUGACAUAGUCCGAUCUUUUCGGCGACGGAAAGGUGUAAUUAAUUACACAUCCAACAAUGACAAAAGACCAAAAAGAAAAACUUAAACUAAACGACCUUCAAAAACGGUUACUUGUUGGUUUGUUGCUUGGUGAUGGUCACCUAGAGACAACUAACGGGAGAACAUAUCGUUUGCGAGUCGAACAUAGUGAAAGUCAGAAAGAGUACCUAAAUUGGUUAUUUAACCAAUUUAAAGAAUGGAUGACAGCUGUCGAACCAAAAAGGAAAGUGCGCGCAGAUGGGCGUGUUUCCUACGAAAUGGUUACUUGCUAUCACGGAGCGUUUCGUUUCUAUGCUCAACAGUUUUAUGUUGGCAAGAAAAAGCGCAUACCUCUGUUGUUUAACAGAAUGAUAAGUGAUGAAGUAUUGGCAAUUUGGUUUAUGGACGACGGUUCGAGAAAAUCUUCUAAACAUAAGACUUUCAUCAUUCAUACAUUAGGGUACAACUUUUCUGACCUAGAGAGAGUCUGUAAGGGACUUAAUAAAGUUUUUGGUCUAGAAGUCACGAUACACAAACAAAGGAAUAAAACUUGGCGUCUGUAUAUACCAAGUAAGAGUGCUGAGUUAUUUAGCACCUUAGUCUUCAAAUUGAUGAAGAAAAUUCCUUCAAUGUUGUAUAAGUUGGAGAACAACAUGCCCAAAUUGUAACGGAGGGGUCUCAAGGUCAACUAGGCGCGAAUGGAAACCGUGCCGAUAGUGCAAUGGCAAAAGUUGGCUUGACUGCAAGGCGUAGAUGCCAAGCAGACACGAAAGUGGAGCAUAGUGAACCGAUGGUUGGCUUUAGAUGCCGCCGGAGAUUACCCGAUAAAAGUUACCCUGGGGAUAACAGGCUAGUCGUGCCCAAGCGUCCAAAGCGACGGCACGGUUCGGCACCU
rnacentral:rRNA from 1 species